GGUUCCAUAGUGUAGCGGUAAGUACAUCUGCUUUACACACAGAAGGUCCUGGGGUGGCACCCCAGUAGAGCCA
rnacentral:tRNA from 1 species